rnacentral:rRNA from 1 species
AGCGAACGCUGGCGGCAGGCCUAACACAUGCAAGUCGAACGGAUCCUUCGUGAUUAGUUGCUGACAGGUGAGUAACACGUGGGAACGUGCCCUUUGGUUCGGAACACCUCAUGUAAACUUGGGCUAAUACAGGAUGUGCUCUGCUGGUGACAGAUUUAUCGACAUUGUAGCGGCACGCGUCUGCUUAGCUUGUUGGUGAUGUAACGGCCCACCACGGCGUCGCUAGGUAGCUGGUCUGAGAGGAUGAUCAGCCACACUGGGUCUGAGACACGGCCGAGAAUCCUACGGGAGGGAGGCGUGGGGGAUCCUGCGAAAUGGGGGGAAGGCAGAAGGAGCCAUGGCGGGUGAAUGAUGAAGGUCGUAGAAUUGUAAAAUUCUUUCAGAGGGGACGAUAAUGACGGUACCCGAAGAAGAAGCUCCGGCUAACUUCGUG